GCACACGCUGGUGAUUUUUAAGCAUUGACAACCAAUCGUUGGUGUAACUAACAACACCCAACAAUUCUUCUAAAUACGGCCACGGAUGGUGAAUAUCCUCCAGAACGAUUACGCUAUUGUCAGUGAUGCUCCCCGGGUCACCGUCCUCCAUGUUGCUCGGUGCUGUCCCUCUUUCUCAGCUCUAUAUUUUUUUUUUAAAUCACGUCAUGACUUACAGAGGUUGUACAAAGUAAUGAGGGCAUUUUGACAAAGUCACGAGUAGAAAAGGACAGAUAUCCGUGUUCAGAUGUAGGAGCAAGAACACUUAGGUCGAGAUAUCUGAACAAUCUACUCAAGUAGAGUCCAUGUGUACUCUUGAUACGUCCUAGCAAUGCUACAACACGCUGCUUGGCGAGAGUGACACGGAUACGAUUUACAACCACCGCUGCAUAAUUUCAUGGCUCAGGGCGCUGACGUGUCGCUGCCGCCUGUGACUCAGAGUUCAGGUUUCUCACUAUUUGUUCCUCUUUAAUUGUUUACCGUGUGGCGCUGAGACAACGGCAGCUGGACGACAGGAAGCAAGCCAAAUGCCACGGCUGAGGUAAUGACCCCGUGACAGCGGCUCACAAGAACUGCUCCAGUCGAGCGCAAAUUUGCAGCAGCCCAGACUGGAUGCGGGUGAAAGGAGGAGGAAGUGUCCUUGCAGCUUGUCAAACUAAAAGAACGUGUCGACCGCUUCAGUAAAUCAGCGCAGCACCUCAAACGGGCUUCUUGCGUGCACUCUCCAGAACUUCCAUUGACAACUCGGGCUGAAGUCCGUUAUACAAAGGAAAGAUGAAAAGUGCGAUACGGGAACCCCUCCGCAACUGCGUGAGCGUACCUGC